rfam:Cellulophaga phage phi4:1, complete genome.
GGGACGGUUGCUCGGCUGGAAGAGGCGCAGGACUGUAAAUUCUGUAAUCCACUAGGAAUGGAGGUUCGAGUCCUCCUCGUCCCA